rnacentral:rRNA from 1 species
CCUACGGGUGGCAGCAGUGAGGAAUAUUGGUCAAUGGGCGCGAGCCUGAACCAGCCAAGUCGCGUGAAGGAUGACUGCUCUCCGGGUUGUAACCUUCUUUUAUAAAGGAAUAAAGUGCGGUACGUGUGCCUUUUUGUAUGUCCAUUAUGAAUACGGAUCGGCUAACUCCGUGCAAGCGGCAGCGGUAAUACGGAGGAUGCGAGCGUUAUCCGGAUUUAUUGGGUUAAAAGGGUGCGUAGGCGGGAGGUUAAGUCCGCGGUCAAAUGUCGGUGCUCAACACCGGCCUGCCGUUGAAACUGGGCUGCUUGAGUGAGCGAGAGGUAGGCGGAAUGCGUGGUGUAGCGGUGAAAUGCAUAGAUAUCACGCAGAACUCCGAUUGCGAAGGCAGCAUACCGGCGGUUAACUGACGCUGAGGCACGAAAGCGUGGGGAUCGAACAGGAUUAGAUACCCUUGUAGUC